GACGAACGCUGGCGGCGUGCUUAACACAUGCAAGUCGAACGGUGAAGCGGUGCUUGCGCCGUGUAUUAGUGGCGCACGGGUGAGUAAUACGUGAGUGACCUACCUUUUACUCUGUGAUAAGCCUUGGGAACAGGGGCUAAUACCGGAUACGACCAAUCUCUGCAUGGGGUGUUGGUGGAAAGCGUUAUGGAGUGGUUUUAGAUGGGCUCACGGCCUAUCAGCUUGUUGGUGAGGUAAUGGCUUACCAAGGCGACGACGGGUAGCCGGCCUGGGGGGGUGACCGGCCACACUGGGACUGAGACACGGCCCAGACUCCUACGGGAGGCAGCAGUGGGGAAUAUUGCACAAUGGGCGCAAGCCUGAUGCAGCGACGCCGCGUGAGGGAUGACGGCCUUCGGGUUGUAAACCUCUUUUGGCAUCGAAGAAGCGAAAGUGACGGUAGGUGCAGAGAAAGCGCCGGCUAACUACGUG
rnacentral:rRNA from 1 species